ensembl:lncRNA
UAUGGCACUCUUCCACACCCGGCAGAAAAAUGAUGUGAGGCCACGGUCUUUGCUGGCCGGUACUCAAACAAAACAUGCAAAACCGAACUGCAUGUGGUCUUUGAGUCAUUCCUGAGAUCCUGAAUUCUCUCAACCCCUGAAUCUGAGUUGGAUUAGUGGGAAUGCCAGCUGGAUGCCGUGGGGACGGUUGCUCUCAAGAGUCAGCAGAGAAGGAUGGCGGUGAAGGGAUGUGAAUAAAUAUGUUAGCUGCACCCACUCAUGAAAAUGAGACUCUAUGCCUGAAACAAAGGCAGAACUGGAGCCUUGCUCUCAGGGUCUGUAUUUUUCCACGGACUUCCCAGGCAUCCAGACAGCAUCUCUCAAAUCGGCAUUCACCCCGGUCAAUCUGGAAGUCAGCAUUGAUCUACAAGAACCCUGAAGUUCCUAUUAUUUUGAAACUGAGAAGUACCAGGCGUUUUGCUUAGCUGUUGUUUUUUGAUUCCGAGAACGACCUUUCUCCAAAUGGACGUUAUAACUCUUGGUGUAAACCUAGAGAAUGGCUUAGGAAGCUUUGCUCACCACCCUCCUGUCUCCUGCAGGAAUUACCGCCAACUGAACGUGCAGAAAUCCACCCCCACUCCUGGGGACCCAGAUGUCACCCCACUAGGUGGGAAGGGCCCGCCAUCCCUUCUCUGAGUCUGUGCACUCAGUUCCGACAGCAUCACCACCGAAAAACCCGAGAACCUGCCUGGUCGUUCCAUCCGUCUCUGGGUAGCCCCCCACAGACACAGACAAAUAAACCUGGUCAAUCCUGUGAUGCCCGAGGAAUG